rnacentral:rRNA from 1 species
GAUGAACGCUGGCGGCGUGCUUACACAUGCAAGUCGAACGAUGAAGCCCAGCUUGCUGGGUGGAUUAGUGGCGAACGGGUGAGUAACACGUGAGUAACCUGCCCUUAACUCUGGGAUAAGCCUGGGAAACUGGGUCUAAUACCGGAUAGGAGCGUCCACCGCAUGGUGGGUGUUGGAAAGAUUUAUCGGUUUUGGAUGGACUCGCGGCCUAUCAGCUUGUUGGUGAGGUAAUGGCUCACCAAGGCGACGACGGGUAGCCGGCCUGAGAGGGUGACCGGCCACACUGGGACUGAGACACGGCCCAGACUCCCACGGGAGGCAGCGGUGGGGAAUAUUGCACAAUGGGCGCAAGCCUGAUGCAGCGACGCCGCGUGAGGGAUGACGGCCUUCGGGUUGUAAACCUCUUUCAGUAGGGAAGAAGCGAAAGUGACGGUACCUGCAGAAGAAGCACCGGCUAACUACGUGCCAGCAGCCGCGGUAAUACGUAGGGUGCGAGCGUUAUCCGGAAUUAUUGGGCGUAAAGAGCUCGUAGGCGGUUUGUCGCGUCUGUCGUGAAAGUCCGGGGCUUAACCCCGGAUCUGCGGUGGGUACGGGCAGACUAGAGUGCAGUAGGGGAGACUGGAAUUCCUGGUGUAGCGGUGGAAUGCGCAGAUAUCAGGAGGAACACCGAUGGCGAAGGCAGGUCUCUGGGCUGUAACUGACGCUGAGGAGCGAAAGCAUGGGGAGCGAACAGGAUUAGAUACCCUGGUAGUCCAUGCCGUAAACGUUGGCACUAGGUGUGGGGACCAUUCCACGGUUUCCGCGCCGCAGCUAACGCAUUAAGUGCCCCGCCUGGGGAGUACGGCCGCAAGGCUAAAACUCAAAGGAAUUGACGGGGGCCCGCACAAGCGGCGGAGCAUGCGGAUUAAUUCGAUGCAACGCGAAGAACCUUACCAAGGCUUGACAUGUUCUCGAUCGCCGUAGAGAUACGGUUUCCCCUUUGGGGCGGGUUCACAGGUGGUGCAUGGUUGUCGUCAGCUCGUGUCGUGAGAUGUUGGGUUAAGUCCCGCAACGAGCGCAACCCUCGUUCCAUGUUGCCAGCACGUCGUGGUGGGGACUCAUGGGAGACUGCCGGGGUCAACUCGGAGGAAGGUGAGGACGACGUCAAAUCAUCAUGCCCCUUAUGUCUUGGGCUUCACGCAUGCUACAAUGGCCGGUACAAUGGGUUGCGAUACUGUGAGGUGGAGCUAAUCCCAAAAAGCCGGUCUCAGUUCGGAUUGGGGUCUGCAACUCGACCCCAUGAAGUCGGAGUCGCUAGUAAUCGCAGAUCAGCAACGCUGCGGUGAAUACGUUCCCGGGCCU